UGACCAUGAUGGGAUGAAUUUCUUCACCCGACAAUACCGUGGGGAACCACACAAUCGAGCUUUUUAACACUGAGUACG
rnacentral:snoRNA from 1 species